AGAGCGCGUGUGGCCGCCGAGCACAUGGACCCACUGGUCAAGCGGGCUCGGCAAGGCCAGGAUGAAGAGAAGCUACGAACUUAGCAUUCCCAGAGCCCCCCGAGUGGAUAUCCGCGUGGAAAGGAUGUUGGCAGCCCCGGUGACCUCGGAGUCACGGCUGGAUCCACCCUCUUGGGCUGGGACACUGCCUGAUUGAGGUGGCCAUUGAGAAUUCAAGUGUACCUCUUGGUCCCUGAUGCAGAAAUGAAGUCCCCAGCAUGCUCAAGAAGAGCUUCCUUGGAGGAUGAGAGGCAUGGGAAUCUAAGUAUACCCUUUAAGCGUUCCAGAAGGAUUUUGAGAUCCUUUCCUAAAUCAAAGGUGGAAUAUUUGGGGAUUUGGAAAAUUGAGAAGCCAGUCUCUCAGAAGAACCAGUUGUGUUACUUUGCUGUGAGAUGCCUGCCCUAAGAGAGGAGCAGAAGGUCGGAACGGGUCCUCUAAUGUGAUAAUUAGAUGUGAAGCGUUGACUUAAGAGAUGCCAAGUAACUCAGCAGAUGUCACACAGACGAUAAAUAGCAAAGAUGGAAGUCUUCAUGCCGGAGGCAAUCCUAUAAGACAGCUGAGUUCUGCAGAGCUGGUAGGAGACAGACUUGCUCAGGUGAUAGAUCCAGCCAUGAUACUGACCCUAAGAGAAUGAGACGCUCUGCAGAAGACAGAAGAUUCCUGAAACUGGGAAAGGUGCCUAGAAAUCCUGAUAAGAGUGAAGAAGGAGCUGGCAGAGCAGCCUUCCUCCGCACUAUGAAAGACAUCCAACAGAGAGCAAGUUCCCACCUCACUUCCAGCUUGACUCCUUUUUAUCUCCUAACUGUGGUCUGUGAUGUCUUCAGCAAUGGGUACCUGGAGGCACAGCAGCCAUGUUGAACCUAUGAGGUGAUGAAAAACCAUGCAACUAGAAACCAGAAUGGAAGAAAAGAAGAAGCUGGAUCCUUGACUGAAUUGUCGAUGGGGGAUAGUCCAUCAUCCCAGGGCUAAGACCACCUCCAGAUUUCUUGUUUGGUGAAACAAGUCCUGAUUGUUUACAUUCCCUCGUGUUGAGCUGUCUCUUGCUUGUAGCUGAAAGCAUUUCUAAUAGAUAUUCAGAUUAUCAGCCUUAGCUCCAAGCUAGAAUACUCUAUGGGACCUUAGCUUCUCCAUGAAUUCCUUUGCUCAUCUGUGUAAUGCUCAAUAAAUGUAAAUUGAACCCUGAAUGAGGGACAAUGACA
rnacentral:lncRNA from 1 species